rnacentral:rRNA from 1 species
AGAAAACUUUGCAAUGUGCGAAAGCACGACAAGGUUAAUCCGAGUGGUUUCUGCUAAAGAAACCUUUUGUCAGUCCUAGAAACACUAACGAAUAAGGGGUGGGCAAGUUCUGGUGUCAGCCGCCGCGGUAAAACCAGCACCUCAAGUGGUCAGGAUGAUUAUUGGGCCUAAAGCAUCCGUAGCUCGUUUUGUAAGUUUUCGGUUAAAUCCAUGCGCUUAACGUAUGGGCUGCCGGGAAUACUGCAUAACUAGGAAGUGGGAGAGGUAGACGGUACUCGGUAGGAAGGGGUAAAAUCCUUUGAUCUAUUGAUGACCACCUGUGGCAAAGGCGGUCUACCAGAACACGUUCGACGGUGAGGGAUGAAAGCUGGGGGAGCAAACCGGAUUAGAUACCCGGGUAGUCCCAGCUGUAAACUAUGCAAACUCAGUGAUGCAUUGGCUUGUGGCCAAUGCAGUGCUGCAGGGAAGCCGUUAAGUUUGCCGCCUGGGAAGUACGUACGCAAGUAUGAAACUUAAAGGAAUUGGCGGGGGAGCACCACAAGGGGUGAAGCCUGCGGUUCAAUUGGAGUCAACGCCAGAAAUCUUACCCGGAGAGACAGCAGAAUGAAGGUCAAGCUGAAGACUUUACCAGACAAGCUGGGAGGUGGUGCAUGGCCGUCGCCAGCUCGUGCCGUGAGAUGUCCUGUUAAGUCAGGUAACGAGCGAGAUCCCUGCCUCUAGUUGCCACCAUUACUCUCAGGAGUAGUGGGGCGAAUUAGCGGGACCGCCGCAGUUAAUGCGGAGGAAGGAGGGGGCCACGGCAGGUCAGUAUGCCCCGAAACUCUGGGGCCACACGCGGGCUGCAAUGGUAGUGACAAUUGGUUCCGAAUCCGAAAGGAGGAGGUAAUCCUCAAACGCUACCACAGUUAUGACUGAGGGCUGCAACUCGCCCUCACGAAUAUGGAAUCCCUAGUAACUGCGUGUCAUUAUCGCGCGGUGAAUACGUCCCUGCUCC